GUUCUUGCUUCAACAGCACACAUACUAAAAUUGGAAUCAUAUAGAUAUUAGCAUGGCCCCUGCUGAAGGAUUACACACAAAUUUGUGAAAUAUUCCAUAUUUUA